rnacentral:lncRNA from 12 species
UCAAUUUCUUAACUUUUACAAUUUUUGCAGGCACCAGAGGAUUUUCUGGGACAGGAUAAUAGACAGAGUGAGGACAUUGUCACCUUGGUGUGAGGAAAGCUGCCUAAGCAGAAUCGAGUGACUGGAGGAGCACUUGUUGAGCUUGAUGUUCAUGCUGAGGAUGUUCUUGCAUCUCUAGUAAGCAAAAAAGGCAAAGAUGAGAGAGACUUUGAAUGGUUAAGUCAGUUUAGGUGCUACUGGGAGAAAUAUGAAGAUACAGAACCUGAAUGCCAGCUGCCAGCGUGAAGGAUGCUAGUCGUCCCCAGAGAAAGUUUGGAAUAACCCUCUUUUGAAGAUUUUACCCAGUGAAAGCAGAGGUGGGCAGCCCCACAGAAAACUAUCUGUAGCUAAAAUAAGUGAAAGGUGCUGACUUUUAGCAGUAAAGAUCAAAGAGGUGUGGGACAGCUAUGUGUGCCUUCACACAGCCAAACUGGAGUAAAUAAAAAGUCCUUCAUGUAAGCUGUGUUCCAU